rnacentral:pre_miRNA from 1 species
AGUAGAAUUGCUGGGUCAUAUGGUAAACUUACGUUUAACUUUUUAAGAAAUUACCAAACUGUUUUCCAAAGUGAGAACCAUUUUACAUUCCCACCAGCAGU